GAAAGGCCAGUGUCCACAAAGGAGACAGAGGAGCCCUGCAAGAAUCUGUGUCACCUUGCCUUGCCUUGCACUCAGGAAAGGGGUGCAGUCCUGAGAUAAGUGAGCUUUCUCAUCAUUUGAAGCUUAAGCGUGAGCCAUUACU
rnacentral:lncRNA from 1 species